GCUCCGCCCCCUUCCGUCCGUACACAGCCGCUGUCACACAGGGAGGGUAAGGGCAGUGAUGCUGAGUGGCAGUUAGAGGGAGAUUGAUGAGCCCUCUGACGAAGUCGAUGACGAAACGCGCUAGGGUGGAGUCUGGUGACGCCGGGGAUCAGUGCAGCUGUUGAAGGAGCAGUUACAGAUGUGUGUGUUCCUGCCCGCGAGUCUCGAGGAAAACGGCCGCUGGCGGGUGGAGGAUCCCAGCGCGACUGUUCUGAGUCUUGUUCCAGCUUUGCCUGGUCAUUGUUUAUGGAAUCAUGUGGUAAUCAGCACACAGCGAUUGCCGUUUGGUAUGAGCGCAUUUUUAACAUUUGCCUUACGUACUGAGUGUGUUUUUAAAAAAAUAAAAAAACUUCCUGCACUAUGGAGCGCCCCCUGUAUAUGCUUUGUUGACAGAUACUCACCUCCGUGGGAAUUCGGAUUGAUUGAAAGGGAGCAGCGAUCCUGAAAUUAUCUAAGGAGGAUCUAGUGCUGUUCAGCGCCAAUUGAGCUGCUUUGAUUCCAUCUGUAUACACAGACUUUUAAUGUGAUUAUACUCCAUGUGGAUUAACCGGCGCUGUACCUGCUCCUCUUGUAAUAUAUAUAUAAUAUGUAAUUUUAAAAAACAAAACAACUUCAUUAACAUAAACAAAUACUCAGUAAAUCUGAGUGUGGGGUUCCUGACAAACUUCAUAUACAGACUAUGCAGAGAGCCACCUGUCACUUACCAAGCAGUGCCUCCUCUCUUCUUCAGGGAGAGGCAUCUGUCUGGUGAUUGUGUGCCACAGCUAUAUACUGUAUCCCUUUGAUGUAAACAGGCCACAGAUGGAGCUCGGGAUGGGGCUCUGCUAGUGCAAUGUAGUCUUCCUGGAUUUCACAAGGUGGACUGCGACAACGGACGUUGAUUAUUUAAAUUAUGGAGAUAUGAGUAAUAGGUGGUCCAGUACAUACCCGGACUACCCCUUGAUCUCGCCUAAUCAGAAAGGAUGCAGAGAGCUGGGGAGACGGGCUCCGCUCUUCAUGAUACCGGAGCCGCUGCUGGCUGUUUGUCACGCAGUGUGACAGGUGCUGGCAGCCAGCAGCGGCAGAUCACAUCAGCAAGGUUGCAGAGCGGGGAGAGCACCUCUCCAGCAGGGCGCCUCCCUGCUUUGCAGACCUUGCUGAGCGGAUAGCGCCAGAACUGAAGAGGGGCUUAAUGGAAGAUAAGUGGCAAUUUAAUUUCUGGGGGAGCCUUGGUUGGCAAUAUGUCAUAUUCCCCAUCUCCCAUCCAAGGUAGGUUUACCCAAUUGAAUGUCUAGGAGCGUCUAUUAGAGUAUAUAUUUGAUUUUGCAAAUCUAUGGGUUUCGAAGCUAUAAAGUUAACCCAUUUUUUAAGGAAUUUAGGUAUUACCCGUUGAGGGUAAGAUAUCGUGUCAUAUCUGUCAAAGUACAUGUAUCUCAAUAGGAGUUCAUCAACUUCACGUAAUGUCGCAUUAUGUUUGUUUAUCCAUUAGUUUAAUAUAACUUCCUUUGCAACUGUCACAAAGAUUAUCAAGAAAGGUAUCAAUGGUUUGGUUGAGGUAGCCAGGUUCCAAGGAUCAAAGUUGGCAAAGAGCAAUGGAUUAGGGUCCAAAGACACUGCCAAAGUGAAGACAAAAAACUGCAACAGACGAGCGCCUAAUCAUCAAAAAAAUAAAAACCAAUAAAUAUUUCAUGAAGUUGAAUAACCACAAUUUUCUAUUCCUGAUAGGCUGCGCUUGCCGGA